UACGUAGGGGGCAAGCGUUGUCCGGAAUCAUUGGGCGUAAAGAGCGUGUAGGCGGCUUGGUAAGUCCGCCGUGAAAGUCCAGGGCUCAACCCUGGAAAGCCGGUGGAAACUGUCAAGCUUGAGUCCGGAAGAGGCGAGUGGAAUUCCUGGUGUAGCGGUGGAAUGCGCAGAUAUCAGGAGGAACACCGGUGGCGAAGGCGGGUCUCUGGGCCGUUACUGACGCUGAGGAGCGAAAGCGUGGGGAGCGAACAGG
rnacentral:rRNA from 1 species